GUACACUCCUGCGGGAGGCAGCAGUGGGGAAUAUUGCACAAUGGGCGGAAGCCUGAUGCAGCAACGCCGCGUGCGGGAUGACGGCCUUCGGGUUGUAAACCGCUUUCGCCUGUGACGAAGCGUGAGUGACGGUAAUGGGUAAAGAAGCACCGGCUAACUACGUGCCAGCAGCCGCGGUGAUACGUAGGGUGCGAGCGUUGUCCGGAUUUAUUGGGCGUAAAGGGCUCGUAGGUGGUUGAUCGCGUCGGAAGUGUAAUCUUGGGGCUUAACCCUGAGCGUGCUUUCGAUACGGGUUGACUUGAGGAAGGUAGGGGAGAAUGGAAUUCCCGGUGGAGCGGUGGAAUGCGCAGAUAUCAGGAGGAACACCAGUGGCGAAGGCGGUUCUCUGGGCCUUUCCUGACGCUGAGGAGCGAAAGCGUGGGGAGCGAACAGGCUUAGAUACCCGAGUAGUCC
rnacentral:rRNA from 1 species